rnacentral:tRNA from 1 species
GGUUCGUUGGUGUAAUGGCAGCAUCCCAGAUUCUCAAUCUGUAGGCAGGGGUUCAACUCCCCUACGAACUAC